rnacentral:rRNA from 1 species
CGCGGCGCCACUGAGUCCCCUGGAACGGGGCGCCACAGAGGGUGAGAGCCCCGUAUAGUUGGACGCCUAGCCUGUGUAGAGCUCCUUCGACGAGUCGAGUAGUUUGGGAAUGCUGCUCAAAAUGGGAGGUAAAUUUCUUCUAAAGCUAAAUACCAGCCAGAGACCGAUAGCGCACAAGUAGAGUGAUCGAAAGAUGAAAAGCACUUUGAAAAGAGGGUUAAACAGCACGUGAAAUUGUUGAAAGGGAAGCGCUUGUGACCAGACUCGCGCCGGGCUGAUCAUCCGGUGUUCUCACCGGUGCACUCUGCCCGGCUCGGGCCAGCAUCGGUUCCUGCGGGGGGAUAAAGGCUCCGGGAACGUAGCUCCUCCGGGAGUGUUAUAGCCCGGGGCGCAAUGCCCCCGCGGGGACCGAGGACCGCGCUCUGCAAGGAUGCUGGCGUAAUGGUCACC